UCGGCAGAAGUAUAGGUCUUCUUAUAGCUGCUGCCGGUGGACCAUUAAACUCUUGUUAUUUUAUGUAAUCUGAGCGUCUUAUUUUAAUAAGUCAAAACUUUCAACAACGGAUCUCUUGGUUCUGGCAUCGAUGAAGAACGCAGCGAAAUGCGAUAAGUAAUGUGAAUUGCAGAAUUCAGUGAAUCAUCGAAUCUUUGAACGCACAUUGCGCCCAUUAGUAUUCUAGUGGGCAUGCCUGUUCGAGCGUCAUUUCAACCCUUAAGCCUAGCUUAGUGUUGGGAAUCUACUUCUCUUAGGAGUUGUAGUUCCUGAAAUACAACGGCGGAUUUGUAGUAUCCUCUGAGCGUAGUAAUUUUUUUCUCGCUUUUGUUAGGUGCUAUAACUCCCAGCCGCUAAACCCCCAAUUUUUUGUGGUUGACCUCGGAUCAGGUAGGAAUACCCGCUGAACUUAAGCAUAU
rnacentral:rRNA from 1 species